AUUGUGUGCAAACAUUAAUUUUCUCAACUAACUUGCAAUCAAAAUAUUACUUAAUUUCCUUUUAAUUGUUUUAAAAAUUUUCUUUUCUUCUCAGCAGGCCUUUUCUCUUUAUUUCAUGGAAGACAAAUGAUAUCAACUGGAUAACCAUAUGUUUCAAAGGAGUGUCCUGCAGCCUGCUGCUUCAGAUGAUUUCUAGUAGAUAUAAUUUGCUCAAUUGGUGCCAAUAUGGGCAUCUGUGUGAUGAAAUGUCAUCAGCCAUGGCUUCUUUACAGUCUACUGCUUUUUGUCAUAUUAAGCAAAAGCCAAGCAAUCAAUCCUGAUGGUGCGGUGCUUCUAAACUUCAGGAAUGCAAUUGUUAAUUCAGAUGGUGUACUUAAUCAAUGGAGACCAGAAGAUCCUGACCCAUGUAAAUGGAAAGGAGUGACAUGUGAUUGGAAAACCAAAA